UGCCCUUUGUGGUCGGUGGACAGGUGGUGCAUGGUUUGUCGUCAGCUCGUGUCGUGAGAUGUUGGGUUAAGUCCCGCAACGAGCGCAACCCUCGUCCUAUGUUGCCAGCGGGUCAUGCCGGGGACUCAUGGGAGACUGCCGGGGUCAACUCGGAGGAAGGUGGGGAUGACGUCAAAUCAUCAUGCCCCUUAUGUCUUGGGCUUCACGCAUGCUACAAUGGCCGGUACAAAGGGCUGCGAUACCGCGAGGUGGAGCGAAUCCCAGAAAGCCGGUCUCAGUUCGGAUUGGGGUCUGCAACUCGACCCCAUGAAGUCGGAGUCGCUAGUAAUCGCAGAUCAGCAACGCUGCGGUGAAUACGUUCCCGGGCCUU
rnacentral:rRNA from 1 species